GUUUGGAUAUAAGCUCAGAUUGAACGCUGGCGGGAUGCUUUACAUAUUCACAAGUCGGGCGGCGGCCUGGACUUCCGGUCCAUUGGCGAGUGGCGAACCUGGGUGAGUAAUGUAUCGGAACGUGCCUAGUAGCGGGGAUAACCCACGCGGCGUAGCUGAUACCGCAUACGCCCUUCGGGGAAAGCGGGGACGCUUCCCGGGCUCGCGCUGUCAAACGAGCGAUAUCGGAUUGAGCUAGUUGAUUGCAGGUAACGGCUCACCAAGGCGACGAUCCGUAGCUGAUUUGAGAGGACGACCAGCCACACUGGGACUGAAGAUUUGACCCAGACUCCUACGGGAGGCGGCAGUGGGAAUUUUGGACAAUGGAAACCUGAUCCAGCCAUCACGUGUGCGAUGAAGGCCUUCGGUUUGUAAGCACUUUUUUGGCGGGAAAGAAACGGCACGGGAUAAUACCCCGUGCAACUGACGGUACUGCAAAAUAAGCACCGGCUAACCGUGCCAACAGCCGCGGGUAAUACAGCAGGUGCAAGCGUUAAUCAGAAUUACUGGGCGUAAAGCGUGCGCGGGCGGUUCGGAAGAGAAAAGAUGUGAAAUCCCAGAGGCUUAACCUGGAACUACCUUUUAACUACCGAGCUAGAGAGUGUCAGGAGGUGGAAUUCCGCGUGUAACAGUGAAAUGCGUAGAUAUGCGGAGGAACACCGAUGGCGAAGGCAGCCUCUGGGAUAACACUGACGCUCAUACACGAAAGCGUGAGAGCAAACAGGGAUUAGAUACCUGGUAGUCCGCACAAACGGUAUCUAACUAGCUGUUGGGAGCCUUCGGGCCUUGGUAGCGCAACUAACGCGUGAAGUUGACCGCCUGGGAGAGCCGUGGUCAUAAAGAUUAAAACUCAAAGGAAUUGACGGGGACCCGCACCGGCGGUGGAUGAUGUGGAUUAAUUCGAGUACAGCGAAAAACCUACCCUGCAUGACAUCUCUGGAAUCCCGAAGAGAUUUGGGAGUGCUCGCAAGAGAACCGGAACACAGGUGCUGCAUGGCUGUCGUCAGCUCGUGUCGUGAGAUGUUGGAACAGAACUCCGCAACGAGCGCAGCCCGCCUAAUCGUGGUUGCUACGAAAGGGCACUCCUAAUGAGACUGCCGGUGACAAACCGGAGGAAGGUGGGAUGACGUCAGGUCCUCUUGUGGCCCUUAUGGGUGAGGCUUCACGUCCAUACAAUGGUCGGGACAGAGGGUCGCCAACCCGCAGGAAGUGUGGUCAGAAACUGAUCGUAGUCCGGAUCGCAGUCUGCAACUCGGCUGCGUGAGUCGGAAUCACUAGUAAUCGCGGAUCAGCAUGUCGCGGUGAAUACGUUCCCGGGUCUUGUACACACCGCCCGUCACACACCAUGGGGAGUGGGUUUUACGAAGUAAGUUAGCCUAACCGUAAGGAGGCUGAUUACCGAUGGAUUAUGAGCUAGGGUGAAGUCGUAACAAGGUAA
rnacentral:rRNA from 1 species